rnacentral:lncRNA from 1 species
AUAGAUCUUGAACGUGCUUCUGAAAAAUCACCGGUCAGCUUUGAUCCAUUUAGAGGAAGUAUUCGAUUUUAGAUCAUCUUACCGCACUUGACUCAUUUGCCUGCAUAGUCAGCAACUUGCACCAUUGGAAACUUGAAUUUCUUCUUUUGGAUGAGCUUUAUUUCGGACCAUUGCUUUAAACUCUCCUAGCCGUUUAGCAACGCCGAUAUAUUCUGUAAGUAUAUUGCUAAUAACCAUAGUUUAGUUCAUAUUAUAAUGUACACCUCUUUAAACAGUGUUUGGAACAUUUGAUAAUCAAGUACAAGUUUAUUGAUAAAUGCUAAAUCGUACUAUUACAUUAUACUGCAUACUCGCGAAGAUUGAUAAACUCAAAAUCAUUAAAUCUGCUACAAACUUACUUCUUUUUCAUCGACAUAAUGGAACAUGAAAAAAAAUAUUAAAAAUAAUAAAAUACAUCGUUGUUUAAUAAGAUAAUAGUACAACCGUGCUUUAGUGUCAAACAAUAGUAUUCCAGCGUCAUGCAAUCAUAGUUCAGUUUCAAACAAUCCUACUCAGCGUCAAACAAUUAUACUUAGCGUCAACCAAUUAUCCUAUAGCGUAAAAUACUUUUACUUAAGAGUCAAACAAUCGUUUUCAGCGUCAAAGAAUCGUACUAAGGAUCAAACAAUCGUACUCAGCGUCAAACUAUCGUUGUCAGCGUCAAACAAUCGUAGUCAACAUCAAACAAUCGCCCUUCAGCGUCAAACAAUUGAAAUCAACAUCAAACAAUCGAACUCAGCGUCAAACAAUCGCCCUAAACGGUCACCCAAUAUUAAUCAAGCAUCAAACAAUCGUACGCAGCAUCAAGCAAUCGCCAAUAAGCGUCAACCACUAUUACUCAAGCGUCAAUCAAUAAUACAUCAUUGUCAAACCUUCGAUUUUCAACGUAAUAAUACCGGAUUUGAACGCGUACGACCAACGUAAUGAUAGCGGUUAGAACCACCAUAGUAGUCGUGAGUUAUAUACAUUUUUAAAUACCGUUUUUUUUAAUGUAUUCUUCGUGUUUUAUUACAAAGCGAAUUCAGAUUUAAUAUAAAACAAGGUAUCAUCUAAUACACUAUAAAAAAGAGAAGCGGUAUGAUUGAAAUUGGAAAACAAACAACCAGAGUUCAUAUGAAGUGAAUGUAUGAAAUUUAUUUCCACUAACGCAAUAAUAAUGUUGUGGAUCAGAAAGUCCAGUAUUUUGAUGAUAUCAUCUUUGAUAUAUUUGAUACUUGAUUGAACGCAGUUCUUUACAAUGUAAACUUUUUUUAUGAUCUCAAACAACAAAUGUGUAUUUCGAUCCCCCUUUUUGUAGCUAAUGAUCUGUUAAAUGAUAGAAUGUAUUCAAACUUUCGAUUGAUCUUACAAUUUCAUAAUACAAUUUGUAGUUCGCUUAAAAUAUUUAAUGAAUUCAAUAGACAAAUUUCGAGUUGGAUGCAUCAUGUCAAAAGCUUUGGUUUUAGUUAACAUCAUUUGUGCGUUUACGGACGUCGUCACUUUUGAUCCAAUGUUGAGCGAGUGGUUUGAAAACUAUAAAGCUAUAUUGCACGAAUUAUUUUGCAAAUUGAAUUCUCUUAAUUAUCUUUCAGCACUGUUGUCAUUAUGGAAUUAAGAUUAAGUACAUACGGAACAAAUAUUAUUUCUAGUUUAUCCUGCAUAAUGACGAUCAUUAAGACUAUUGGUGAACGUUUAUAGUGCAGGGAUAUAGGCGAUUUUCUCUAUCUGGUAAAUGACGUCAUAAAGGCGCGCAUAAUUGCCGAAUUUUUUCCGGUGACGGACAAACUCGAAAGUGGUCUAUUAAAUUGACACCGCUAUUUCAAUCGCUAUUAAUCAUUCUUUAUAGUUGUGUGAAGUUUACAAGUCUAUCAAGGAAAAUGUAGAGGUUCAUCACUAUGUGUUAUGUCAUUACCGUUGGAGAGAUGUGAUGGAUUUGUGAUUUUAAAAACUCCAUAUUUUGAGAAUGAUACUUAUGUGAUAGAUAUAUGUGGGAUUCAAAGUUUUGUAGUGCAUUCCGAUUCUUUAAUGAGACAUAUAAAAUCAAUAUUGUUUAAGAUGCGUUGUGUGCUGGAACAACACUAUAGUUGUCGUGAAGAUGAAGAUGAAGCAUUCAUAUUCUCUGGCAUUUUUAAAGGAUAAGAAAUCUGCGUGCUCAUCGUUAAUCAUAGAUCUGAACGUGCUUCUGAAAAAUCACCGGUCAGCUUUGAUCCAUUUAGAGAAAGUAUUCAAUUUGAGAUCAUCUUACCGCACUUGACUCAUUUGCCUGCAUAGUCAGCAACUGCCACCAUUGGAAACUUGAAUUUCUUCUUUUGGAUGAGCUUUAUUUCGACCAUUGCUUUAAACUCUCCUAGCCGUUUAGCAAGCCGAUGUAUUCUGUAAGUAUAUUGCUAAUAACCAUAGUUUAGUUCAUAUUAUAAUGUACACCUCUUUAAACAGUGUUUGGAACAUUUGAUAAUCAAAUACAAGUUUAGUGAUAAAAGCUAAAUCGUGCUAUUUCAUUAUACUGCAUACUCGCGAAGAUUGAUACACAUAUAAUUACAUAUAAUUAAUAAAAUCAUUAAAUCUGCUACAAACUUACUUCUUUGUCAUCGACAUAGGAACAUGUAAAAUAUUGAAAAUAAUAAAAUACAUCGUUAUUUAAUAAGAUGCAACCGUGCUUUAGUGUCAAACAAUAGUAUUUCAGCGUCACGCAAUCAUAGUUCAGUUUCAAACAAUCGUACUCAGCGUCAAACAAAUGUACCCAGUGUCAAACAAUCGCCCUAUAGCGUCUAACACGAUUACUCAAACGUCAAACAAUUGUUCUCAGCGUCAAACAAUCGUACUCAGCAUCACGAAAUCGCCAUAUAGCGUCAAACUCUAUUCCUCAAGCGUCAUACAAUCGUACUCAGCGUCAAACAAUCGAAACCAGCGUCAAACAAUCGUACUCAGCGUCAAACAAUCGCCUUUAAGCGUCGCAAAAUAUUACUCCAGCGCCAAGCAAUAGUACAUCAGUGUCAAACCCGAUGUCUUAAAGGCGCGCAUAAUUGCCGAGUUUUUUGCCGAUGACGGACAAUCUCGAAAGUAAUCUAUUAAAUUGACACUGCUAUUUCAAUCGCUUGAAAUCAUUCUUUAUAAUUGUGUGAAGUUGACAAGUCUAUCUAUGAAACUGUAGAGGUUCAUUAUCAUGUAUUAUGGCAUAACCGGAGGAAAGAUGAGACUGACUUGUAAUUUCUAAAACUCUAUAUGUUGUGAAUGAUGUUUAUGUGAUAGAUAUAUAUGGGAUUCAACUUGUUUUUAGUGCAUUUCGAUUCUUUAAUGAGACAUAUAAAAUCAAUAUUAUCUAAGAUGCAUUGUGUGCUGGAACAACACUAUAUUUGUCUUGAGGUUAAAACUAUAAAGCAUUCACAUUCUCUGUCAUUUUUUAGAGGAUACGAAAUCUGCAUGGUCAUCGUUAAUCAUAGAUCUUGAACGUCCUUCUGCAUGAAUCACCGGUCAGCUUUGAUCCAUUUAGAGGAAGUAUUCAAUUUUAGAUCAUCUUACCGCACUUGACUCAUUUGCCUGCAUAGUCAGCAACUGCCACCAUUGGAAACUUAGGUUUCUUCUUUUGGUUGAUGAGCGUUAUUUUGGACCUUUGCUUUAAACUCUCUUAGCCGUUUAGCAACGCCGAUGUAUUCUGCAAGUAUAUUGCUAAUAACCAUAGUUUAGUUCAUAUUAUAAUGUACACC